rnacentral:rRNA from 1 species
GUGGGGGAUAUUGCACAAUGGGGGAAACCCUGAUGCAGCGACGCCGCGUGAAGGAAGACGUACUUCGGUAUGUAAACUUCUAUCAGCAGGGAAGAAGAUGACGGUACCUGACUAAGAAGCCCCGGCUAACUACGUGCCAGCAGCCGCGGUAAUACGUAGGGGGCAAGCGUUAUCCGGAUUUACUGGGUGUAAAGGGAGCGUAGACGGUGAAGCAAGUCUGAUGUGAAAACCCGGGGCUCAACUCCGGGAUUGCAUUGGAAACUGUUUUACUUGAGUGCUGGAGGGGCAAGCGGAAUUCCUGGUGUAGCGGUGAAAUGCGUAGAUAUCAGGAAGAACACCGGUGGCGAAGGCGGCUUGCUGGACAGUAACUGACGUUGAGGCUCGAAAGCGUGGGGAGCAAACAGGAUUAGAAACCCCGGUAGUCC